AAGACUAUACUGUCAGGGCUCAUUUCUAUAGUUUGUUACUAGCACAGUUUCUCUGAACAUGUAAAGCAAAAAAAAAAAAAAAAAAAAAAAAAAAUUUCACAUAUCAGCCAAUGGCUUUUUUUUUUUUUUGA
rnacentral:snoRNA from 1 species